CCGUGCCAGCAGCCGCGGUAAUACGGAGGGUGCGAGCGUUAAUCGGAAUUACUGGGCGUAAAGACGCAUGCAGGCGGCCUGUUAAGUCAGAUGUGAAAGACCCGGGGCGUUAACCUCGGAAUUGCAUUUGAAACUGGCAGGCUAGAGUCUUGUAGAGGGGGGUAGGAAUUUCAGGUGUAGCGGUGAAAUGCGUAGAGAUCUGAAGGAAUACCAGUGGCGAAGGCGGCCCCCCUCGGACAAAGACUGACGCUCAGAUGCGAAAGCGUGGGGGAGCAAACAGGAUUAGAUACCCCUGGUAG
rnacentral:rRNA from 1 species